rnacentral:rRNA from 1 species
AGCAGCCGCGGUAAUUCCAGCUCCAAUAGCGUAUAUUAAAGUUGUUGCAGUUAAAAAGCUCGUAGUUGAACUUCGGGGUCUACCCAUUGGUCAGGCUUAAUUGUCUGCACUGGUGAGAUGGAUCUCUACCUUCUGAGGAACUUUCAUGCCAUUUAUUUAGUGUGAUUGGAAAUCAGGACUGUUACUUUGAAAAAAUUAGAGUGUUUAAAGCAGACUAUCGUCUGAAUACAUUAGCAUGGAAUAAUGAAAUAGGACGGACUGAUUCUAUUUCGUUGGUUUCUAGGAUCACCGUAAUGAUUAAUAGGGAUAGUUGGGGGCAUUAGUAUUCAAUUGUCAGAGGUGAAAUUCUUGGAUUUAUUGAAGACUAACUACUGCGAAAGCAUUUGCCAAGGAUGUUUUCAUUAAUCAAGAACGAAAGUUAGGGGAUCGAAGACGAUCAGAUACCGUCGUAGUCUUAACCAUAAACUAUGCCGACUAGGGAUCGGACGAAGUUAAUUUUAUAAUGACGCG